AAAUCAACAUUCUUGUGCAUUCUUACUGUAAUAUCCCUCGCUUUUAAAAAUUAUUAAUAAAGAUUUAUAUGUAAAUUGGAGGACCUAUAUGUAAAUAUAGAAAUUACAAGGACUAAACUGCUAAGUUGCAAAAAAAAGAAAAAAAAAGGGGAAAACCGAAAAUUCGGUAUUAUCCCACCGCCUCCCACGCACUCUGUUUCUUCCAGAAACAGAGAGAGCGGUGGGGCGUGAGGAGAAGAAGGAGAGUGGUAGAAGAAGAGAGGAAGAAGAGGGAGAAGAGAAGAAGAAGAAGAAGAAGAAGAAGAAGAGGGAAAAGAAGAGAGGAGGAAGAAGAGGGAGUAGAGAAGAAGAAGAAGGAGAAGAAGAAGAAGAGGAGAUGGCUGCAGCGAGGGCUGCAGCGAGAAGCUGUGGGGCGUGGGGAGAAGAAGAGAGGAAGAAGAGGGAGAAGAGAAGAAGACGACGAAGAAGAAGAGAAGAGGAUAGCUGCGGCAAGGCUGCAGCGACGAGGUGUGUGGCGUUGGGGAGGAAAAGGGAAGAGGAGAAGAAGAGAAGGAGAAGAAGAGGGAAAAGAGAGGGAAGAGGGAGAGGAGCGAGAGGUGGCAGCAGCUAGGGCUGCAGCACCUCUGUUUCCUGCAGGUGGAAACAGAGGAGACGUGUGGGGUGUCGGGUAGGAGAAGAGGAGAAGAAGAAGAAGAGGAAGAGAAGAGGAAGAGGAAGUAGGAGAAGAGGUUGUGAUACCUCUGUUUCCUGCAGAGGAAACAGAGGAGAGGGUGUGUGUGACGCUGGGGAGGAGGAGGGAAGAAGAAGAGGAGAAGAAGAAGAGAAGGGAAAGGAGGAGCUGCGGCUGCGGCGGUGGAAUCUGCAGCUGGAAGAGAAGGAGAGGAAGAGAUGGUGAGGAAGAAGAGAAGAAGUGGAAGCGGGUGAAGAGGCGGCACCUCUGUUUCCUGCAGGAGGAAACAGAGGAAAGGAGGUGCUGUUCGUCGGGGAGAAGAAGGGGAGGAAGGAGAAGAAGAGAAGAAGAAGAAAGUAAGGAGAAGGAAGAGGAGAAGGGAAGAAAGUAGCUGCGGCUGCGGUUGUGGCAGCUGCAGCUGUGGCAGGGAAAGAGGAAGAGGAAGGAAGAAGGGAAGGAGAGGAAGAUGAGAAGGGGAAGGAGGGGCUGCAGCUGCGGCGAUGGCAGCUGCAGCUGGAAGAGAAGAGGAAGAGAAAGGAAGAAGAGAAGGGGCUGCGGCUGCGGCGAUGGCAGCUGCAGUUGGAAGAGAAGAAGGAGAGGAAGAUGAGCAGGGGAGGAAGAAAAGGCUGUGGCCGUGGCUGAGGCUGCGACUGCAGCAUGCAGCUGGGAAAGAAGAGAAGGAAAGGAAGAAGAAGAGAAAGGAAGAAGGGAAGGAGAGGAAGAAGAGAAGGGGCUACGGCUGCGGCGAUGGCAGCUGCAGUUGGAAGAGAAGAAGGAGAGGAAGAUGAGCAGGGGAGGAAGAAUAGGCUGCGAGUGUGGUGGCUGCGGCCGUGGCUGCGACUCCGGCUGCGGCUGCAACGUUGGCUGCGGUAGCUGCGGCAGCGGUGGUGGCUGCAGUAGCUGCAGUAGCUGCUUUUGGGAAAGAGAAAGACUAGGAACGAGAGAAGGGAGGAAGGAAGGUAGUGCGGUCGUGGCUGCGAUUGUGGCAGCGGCAGCGACGACGGCUGUGGCAGCUGCGUUUGGGAAAGAAAAAAAAGAAGGAAUGAGAGUAAGAGAGAGCAGGUGACUGUGCCUCGAUGUUCGACACGUGAUGUAGUUGUGAAGAAAGGAAGAAAACGGGAGCACAAAACGAAACAGAGAUAGGACACGGAGAAAAAGUAGAAGGAUUUGGGCUGGCACCUUCUUUGGAUCUUCGGAUCGAAAUCUUUGAAAGGUCAGCUUGUCACUCUUCGAGAUGUUUGAUUUGGGCUGAGGCAGUGGAUAGCUAUUCAGAAUAAUGGGCAAGUCUGGUUGGUUAUUACGAUAUUGUUGUAUAAGUAUGUCUUGUAUGUAAUGAAAUGUUGUCGAUGAACCGAAAUGGAUAUACUGUGUCAAAGUGUUAGGAGAUCUCUCUUAUUUGGAAUUUCAGAAUGUUAAGUCUAAUUUAUGGUGAUAUGAACUUGUGGUGAAUAGUUGGAGUUCUAAUUGUAUAAUUUAUUUAGCUUGUGGAUUUAUAAAUGUUGUUCAUGUUUGUCAAGUUGGCUUGGGUUGCCAUAAAUGUGAAUUAUCGAGUGAUGUGAUAUAUGAUUAUAAACUGCACAGGUUUUAUGGAUGUGAAUAUGAAUAGAAUGUUUUCAGUGUCCUCAAACGUUAGUUUGGAUCCUGGAUUGGUCUGUGACGAAAAUUUUAAAUAUCAUGGAUAUUUGAGGGGCGUGACAGAGGUGGUAUCAGAGCAUUGUUUGAGGAUUACUGAAAUAUUUGAUAUGUUGACGUGCAAAAUAUAUUGAGGUCUAAUGAAACUAUAGUGAUUGGUGGAAAUUUUCUUUGAUGUAUUUUAGGAAUCUAGGAUGACGAUGACAUUUAGUCCUCCUACUUCAUCUGAUUUUGAUUAAUUAAGUGGGAUGAAAGGGGUAAUCGGGGAUAUUGAAUCAGAGUGGCGCAGCGGAAGCAUGGUGGACCUAAUUUCAUUGGUGGUAGAAAAAUGAAUGAUGCAAACAGAGAAGAUAUUUGAUGUACAAAAUUGUUUUGAUGAUCAAAAGAUUUCUUUUGCCACCUUAUAUUGGAAGUAGAGGCUGAUUAUUAUUGGCAACAAUGAAAAGAAUUUUUGGAGAUCAGUGACAAGAAUGAUAAGGACAAGUUUACCAAUAAGAAUAUGAUUGGAAAUGAAUCAGAAAGUAAUGACAAGAGGGUCAAGACAUUUGGAUUUGAAAAGGAAAGUCACCACCAAAGACUUAAUCAUGUGUGAAUUACAAGUUAAAUUAUGAAACAAGUUUGUGUUUUCGGGUGAUUGGAGUCUAUUUUGCUUAUAGAAAGUUGGAUCAUAAAAUAAAAGUUUGCCCUUUGAACCAGAAGAAAGAGUCACUGCCUCCUAAAUCAUCAGCCCAUGUAAGAGUGUAUGCUAUCACUAAAUAUGAUUCUGAAACUUGAAUUAGUGGUCAAAGGUAUUAUGCAUGUUUAUGAAAGAAUGCAAAUAUUUGUUUGACCAUGGGUCCCAUCUAUGAUUUGAUUCGGAAUAUUCUGCCUAUCACUUGGGUAUUCAACCUAGACCACUACAUUAUGUGCUAUAUGUAAAUACGAUCAUUGGAGAUUCUUUGAUAACGAACUUGAAUCUGGUCCUCUUGUCUGAUUUUUGUUGGAGAACUUGAACUUUUGCUGAUUUAGUUCUCCUAGAGAUUUGGAGUUAUGAUAUUAUACUUGGUAUGGAUUGGCCAUCUUCUUAUCAUACCAGUAUGGAUUGAUAUAUAACAAAUGAUCACUUUUUGUAUAUUUGAUCAGUCGAUCUUUUACUUUGAGAGUAUGGGACAUGAUUUAUCUCCUUGCCUAAUGUAUCCAGGAUGACUUGCUUGGAUUACCUCCAAAUGUGACUUUGCUUUUGAUUUGGUCCUUGGGAUAAUCCCAAUAUCUAAGCCUCUCUACAGAAAGAUAUCAUUUGAGUAAGGGGAAUUGGAAAAGCAACUACAAGGAUUGUUAAAUGAGGAUUUUAUUUGGCUUAAUAUUUCAUCAUGGGGUGCUCCGGUGUUAGUUAAAAGAAAUGUAUGGAACAUUGAGGCUUUGUAAUGAUUAUAGACAGUUGAAUUAGGUGACCAUCAAAAACGAGUAUUUUCUGAAGUAUCGACUUGCUCGAUUAAUUACAGGGUACGCAAGUAUUUUUAGAAAUUGAUUGAAGGUCGGGUUACCGUCUAUUGAGGAUCAAGGAGGAGAAUAUUUCGGUCACUCGUGGAUAAUUAUGUAAUUGUAUUGUAUUGAUGAAACUAUUUAAGAGUAGGAGGAGGAAAUAAAGAUAUCAUAAUCCUCAUCUUUUCAUCGAUUGAGCUAUGAUCAAUUUAGAGGACUAAAUUUUCUUUUAAGGGGGGGAGAGUGUAAUAUCCCUCGCUUUUAAAAAUUAUUAAUAAAGAUUUAUAUGUAAAUUGGAGGACCUAUAUGUAAAUAUAGAAAUUACAAGGACUAAACUGCUAAGUUGCAAAAAAAAGAAAAAAAAAGGGGAAAACCGAAAAUUCGGUAUUAUCCCACCGCCUCCCACGCACUCUGUUUCUUCCAGAAACAGAGAGAGCGGUGGGGCGUGAGGAGAAGAAGGAGAGUGGUAGAAGAAGAGAGGAAGAAGAGGGAGAAGAGAAGAAGAAGAAGAAGAAGAAGAAGAAGAGGGAAAAGAAGAGAGGAGGAAGAAGAGGGAGUAGAGAAGAAGAAGAAGGAGAAGAAGAAGAAGAGGAGAUGGCUGCAGCGAGGGCUGCAGCGAGAAGCUGUGGGGCGUGGGGAGAAGAAGAGAGGAAGAAGAGGGAGAAGAGAAGAAGACGACGAAGAAGAAGAGAAGAGGAUAGCUGCGGCAAGGCUGCAGCGACGAGGUGUGUGGCGUUGGGGAGGAAAAGGGAAGAGGAGAAGAAGAGAAGGAGAAGAAGAGGGAAAAGAGAGGGAAGAGGGAGAGGAGCGAGAGGUGGCAGCAGCUAGGGCUGCAGCACCUCUGUUUCCUGCAGGUGGAAACAGAGGAGACGUGUGGGGUGUCGGGUAGGAGAAGAGGAGAAGAAGAAGAAGAGGAAGAGAAGAGGAAGAGGAAGUAGGAGAAGAGGUUGUGAUACCUCUGUUUCCUGCAGAGGAAACAGAGGAGAGGGUGUGUGUGACGCUGGGGAGGAGGAGGGAAGAAGAAGAGGAGAAGAAGAAGAGAAGGGAAAGGAGGAGCUGCGGCUGCGGCGGUGGAAUCUGCAGCUGGAAGAGAAGGAGAGGAAGAGAUGGUGAGGAAGAAGAGAAGAAGUGGAAGCGGGUGAAGAGGCGGCACCUCUGUUUCCUGCAGGAGGAAACAGAGGAAAGGAGGUGCUGUUCGUCGGGGAGAAGAAGGGGAGGAAGGAGAAGAAGAGAAGAAGAAGAAAGUAAGGAGAAGGAAGAGGAGAAGGGAAGAAAGUAGCUGCGGCUGCGGUUGUGGCAGCUGCAGCUGUGGCAGGGAAAGAGGAAGAGGAAGGAAGAAGGGAAGGAGAGGAAGAUGAGAAGGGGAAGGAGGGGCUGCAGCUGCGGCGAUGGCAGCUGCAGCUGGAAGAGAAGAGGAAGAGAAAGGAAGAAGAGAAGGGGCUGCGGCUGCGGCGAUGGCAGCUGCAGUUGGAAGAGAAGAAGGAGAGGAAGAUGAGCAGGGGAGGAAGAAAAGGCUGUGGCCGUGGCUGAGGCUGCGACUGCAGCAUGCAGCUGGGAAAGAAGAGAAGGAAAGGAAGAAGAAGAGAAAGGAAGAAGGGAAGGAGAGGAAGAAGAGAAGGGGCUACGGCUGCGGCGAUGGCAGCUGCAGUUGGAAGAGAAGAAGGAGAGGAAGAUGAGCAGGGGAGGAAGAAUAGGCUGCGAGUGUGGUGGCUGCGGCCGUGGCUGCGACUCCGGCUGCGGCUGCAACGUUGGCUGCGGUAGCUGCGGCAGCGGUGGUGGCUGCAGUAGCUGCAGUAGCUGCUUUUGGGAAAGAGAAAGACUAGGAACGAGAGAAGGGAGGAAGGAAGGUAGUGCGGUCGUGGCUGCGAUUGUGGCAGCGGCAGCGACGACGGCUGUGGCAGCUGCGUUUGGGAAAGAAAAAAAAGAAGGAAUGAGAGUAAGAGAGAGCAGGUGACUGUGCCUCGAUGUUCGACACGUGAUGUAGUUGUGAAGAAAGGAAGAAAACGGGAGCACAAAACGAAACAGAGAUAGGACACGGAGAAAAAGUAGAAGGAUUUGGGCUGGCACCUUCUUUGGAUCUUCGGAUCGAAAUCUUUGAAAGGUCAGCUUGUCACUCUUCGAGAUGUUUGAUUUGGGCUGAGGCAGUGGAUAGCUAUUCAGAAUAAUGGGCAAGUCUGGUUGGUUAUUACGAUAUUGUUGUAUAAGUAUGUCUUGUAUGUAAUGAAAUGUUGUCGAUGAACCGAAAUGGAUAUACUGUGUCAAAGUGUUAGGAGAUCUCUCUUAUUUGGAAUUUCAGAAUGUUAAGUCUAAUUUAUGGUGAUAUGAACUUGUGGUGAAUAGUUGGAGUUCUAAUUGUAUAAUUUAUUUAGCUUGUGGAUUUAUAAAUGUUGUUCAUGUUUGUCAA